rnacentral:rRNA from 1 species
AUGGCCGAGUCCGCAGUUAGCACCGUGCUUUGGAACGUUGGCAAUCUUGUUUCUCAGCAGACCAAGUUCUUAUGUGGAGUCACCGUUGAAGUGGAGUUCUUGAAAGAUGAGCUGAUGCGUCUGCAUGGCUACCUUAGAGAUGCUGACAGCGAACAAAGGCAAGGUAACGCACGAGUUGCUAUCUUGGUGAGCCAGAUUAGGACUGCAUCUUAUGAGGCUGAGAAUAUUAUCGAGGCUGCCAAUUACAUUCAGAUGAGAAACAGGCCCAAGAGGGGAUUCAUGGGCGCCAUUUCAAGGUACGCCUGCUUACCAACUUACUUGGUCACCCUUCGUAAUGUUGGCUUCGAAGUUGAGCAUGUAAGACGGAAGCUCACUGAGAUAUUUCAGAGUGCAGAACGUCUGAAAAUUGAUUUGGAUACUACUGCACUAGUAGAGGAUCAGUUCCUGCAAGAUCAUGGUCUUAGGCAUCAAAACUUUGAAUAUGACGCGGUGAUGGUUGGUUUUCAUGAUGAGUACAAAGAAAUAGUGGAUAUACUAGUUGACAAAGAAAACAUGCUUAGUGCCAUCUCCAUUGUUGGCAUGGGUGGGGCGGGAAAAACAACACUUGCUAGAAAAAUAUAUACUUCGUCUAGAGUCAAACAACACUUUGAGACUCUUGCUUGGGUGACUGUUUCUCAAACAUUCAAGGGCAUUGAUUUAUUGAAGGAUAUUAUGAAGCAAAUUGUGGGAGACAAAAAGGAGUCUAGAGAAAUUGAUCAAAUGCAGGAGUUUGAUGUGGGAAAGAAGAUUAGUGACUUUCUGUUAAAAAAGAGAUACUUGGUAGUUUUCGAUGAUGUGUGGGAGGCAGACACAUGGGAGCAGAUAAAUCAAACUGUUACAGCCUUUCCAGAUGCAACCAAUGGGAGUAGAGUACUGCUAACCACAAGAAAGUUUGAUGUUGCAAACCAUGUUGAAAUGCCGACUCAUGUGCAUGCCUUGAAGAAACUGGACGAAGAGAAAAGUUGGGAACUCUUCAGUAGCAAAGCUUUGCCAUCGUACAGAAGAGCUGUCUUGCGUGAUGUGGAUGAAUUUGAAGAGCUAGGAAGGAAGCUAGCAAAGAAAUGUAAUGGAUUGCCACUUGCACUUGCAGUUUUGGGGGGUUAUCUAUCAAAGAAUCUAUCUUUACAAGCAUGGUCGGACGUACUACUGGGUUGGCCAUCAACUAGAAAGACAGAGAUGAUGCGCAACAUAUUAGCUCGCAGUUACAAGGACUUACCAAAUCGUUAUUUAAGAUCUUGUUUUCUCUAUCUUGCUGCUUUUCCCGAGGAUUAUAUAAUAUAUGUGUCGGACCUUAUUGAAUUAUGGAUAGCAGAAAGCUUCAUUCCAUAUGCACCAAGACAUAAACUAGAAGAAACAGCACGCAAGUACGUAACCGAGUUGGCUCAAAGGUGCUUGGUCCAAGCUGUUGAUAGAAGCAAAGCACAUGGAUGGAUUGAGACAAUAAGGAUUCAUGAUAUCUUACGCGAUUGGUGCAUAGAAGAAGCAAGACAAGAUGGUUUUCUUGAUGUCAUUGACAAAACUACAGGCCAAACUGGUGUGUCAUCAUCUCAGAAAAUGAUAUAUUAUCGUUCUUCUUUUCAAACUUUGAGUGGCAAGAUUUUACCAGAGACACUUAAUAUCAGAACUCUGCUUGGCUUUGGACUCUCAUCUGUGUCCCUCCCUAACUUGAGGUUCCUAAGAGUUGUUCAUAUCGAAGACUCAAGCUUGGAGAAGUUCUGCAGGGUAAUUAAUUGGUGCAUUCACCUAAGACGCCUCAGGUUGCGAAGUUGCAAAGACAUGGCACUCCCUUCUUCAAUUGGACAACUCCUUUACUUGCAGACUAUUGAUCUCAGGGGAACAUAUUUGCUCUCACGAGUACCAAACUCCUUUUGGGAUAUCCCUACACUAAGGCAUCUUUUCCUUAGUAAUUGGUUUUCUCCACCACCACCCAGAAGAAGCGUGCGAGUGCAGCAUAAAGAGCUCCAGACCUUUGAGUUGAAUCUUUCAUCCGUUGGCAGUGGCACUAAAUACUGCUAUGAUGACAUGGUCAUUUUCUUGGGACAGCUGAAUCAACUGAGAACCCUCUCUGUGAGAAUUGGGUCUAUACCGUUGGAGAUGGUUAAGAUAUUUGCAAACAUGCCUCACCUGGUUGAUCUUUUUCUCGCAAAAUUUCGUUUACUCGAUAGGUUGCCUAGUGAGUUCCCACGAACCCUGCGGAGUCUUGUUCUACAAGCUUAUGUCAUUGAACAAGAUCCAAUGCCAGUGCUGGAGAAGCUUCCCUGUCUUGUGGUAUUGGACUUGUCUGGAUACGAGGGCCGGACCAUGUCCUGCUCUGCCCAAGGGUUUCCUCGAUUGCAAGAGUUAAAACUUUCUAGAUUUUCUACUGAGGAGUGGAUGAUGGAGGAUGGAACAAUGGCAAAGCUUUCACGCCUAGAGCUUUUUUGGUUCCAGAAGAUAGGCAAGCUCCCCGAGAACCUUCCAUCGUCCCUCAAGUACCUAGAACUGAAUAGUGUGCCCCUGAUCUCGGAAGAUGAUAUCACACGAAUGAAGCUGAUGUGGAGAGGGUGCGAGGUAUGUACCUAG